UACGUAGGUGACAAGCGUUGUCCGGAUUUACUGGGCGUAAAGAGCGCGCAGGCGGUCGAUCAAGUCGAGUGUGAAAGCCCCGGGCUUAACUUGGGAAUUGCGCUCGAAACUACGUGGCUGGAGUGUGGCAGAGGAAGGUGGAAUUCCACGUGUAGCGGUGAAAUGCGUAGAGAUGUGGAGGAACACCAAUGGCGAAGGCAGCCUUCUGGGCCAACACUGACGCUCAUGCACGAAAGCGUGGGGAGCGAACGGG
rnacentral:rRNA from 1 species